ACUUCUAGUUGCUUUCCUUUUCAUUUUACUCAAAAAUUUGUUUCCGGCCUUCUUUCAAUUGCUUCCAUCAAUAGAUCUCUGUUCUGAAACGGUUAACUUUCAAU
ensembl:ncRNA AH9.9 ncRNA